rnacentral:lncRNA from 1 species
AUACUUAGUGACAUCAUAAUGAAAAUUCAGAAAAUGAAAGACAAAAAGAAAAAUCUUAAUCCAAGGAAAAAUAACAAUUUACUUACAAUGGAAGAACAAGUAGACUGACAACAUAUUUCUCAUUGGCAGUGACAGAGGUCAGAAGACAACAGAGGGGUAUCUUCACAAGGCUGUUAAGGGAAGAAAAACCUGUCAUAUUAGAACUCUAUAUUAUUCUCCCAGAGGUUGUAUCUGCACAUCCUCAACUUGCCUCCCCCAUCUUGCUUCAGAAAGAUAUUUCCCAGCAACUUGAAUUUUGCAAGUCAGAAGAGGAAAUUGGAAUGGCAUGUCAACCAAAUCUCCUUCUGUAUGGUAAAAGACAUCACUAUGUUUACCCCCCUACCUUCCAUCUGCAUAUGAUUUUGAGCAAGAGGAAAACAGGGAGUGGAAGGGAAAGAAACCACCUCCCCCAGGACACACGAAGCAGCAGAAGGAAAGAAGCCACAAAAAGGAAAGAAUAUCUCUCCCUCCCCUCUGCUACUCAUAUACACAUUUGAUGCCAAAUGCUUCCAGAUCUUCCUUUGGACUCCAGAGAUUCUCUUAUUAGGACUCCAAGAGUUCACUGAAGUGAAACUCACACUAGAAGAAAGGGGUGAGUAUCACGUGAGAACCCAAGUUCAAGUAUUUGACUGAGAACUUUUGGAAGUAUGAGACAAUGCAAAUAUCAGCAAAUUAAAAUUGUAGGUGAAAGCAAGUUAAGGAAGUAGAAAUAGCCCUGACAUAACCAUCCUAAUGGAGAUGAGCACAUUUGCAAGGCACAGUGAGUGGUAGCUUGGCACCAAGCCAUGUGGGAAGGCAAGGAAAACUGGACUUGGAGGGAACUGGAGCCAAAACAAACCCGGCUUCGGGUCAUCACCCCAUCUGGAUCAUUCUUGGUGACCUGACAAGUGGGGAUCCGAUAACUCAAAGUGUUGAUGGUUUGGGUAGAAUCUCAGCUAACAUCUGGGAAUAAGAUCUGGGGAGGACAGAAUGAAAGCCAGAACAAUAAAAAUGUAUGAAAGUUGUUGGUAGGUCUGCUG